UGCAUGAAACAUCGGUAACCAUACGAUCACUGAAGUUAAGCAAGGUCGAGCCUGGUCCGUACCUAGAUGGGUGACUUUUUGGAAAUAACAGGUGCUAU